CAGGGGGGUGCCCUGCCAGCUGCCUGCGGGCCGGGAGGGGCAGCUGUUCCCUGAGACAGGCCUUUUCCUGCUUUUUCUCUCCCGUGUCUGUCCAGAAGUGUCCACCCGAGGCGGGGAGCAACCCUGCCGCGUGUGGGGCGCGGGGCUCCCCCGGCUGAGGGGUAGGGGCGGGACCCCAGGGUCUGUGCGCAGCCGCGGCUGCCUCCCUGUGCGGCGCCCGUGGCCACAAGCCCCUGUCAGGGCCGGUGUGUGUGUGACCCUGGGGGCUGGGCUGCCCGUGGCAGGAGGGCUUGACCAAGUCGACCAUCCUGCAGGUCCCGAGGCUUCAGAGGUGCCAGGUGGGCCCUGGAGGGAGAAGCCCCCAGACCAGGGGCCAUCGGCCGCUGGCAGCUCCCGAGUGGCCUGUGUGCUCCCCGACGGCGGCGGCUGCUGGUGGGAGCAGCCGGAACACCCUGUGAAUUGCCCGGCAGGACUCACGCCUGCCUGGCUGCUGGAGGGACGUGGUACCCAGGGGCCACCAGCAACCCCAUGGGGGUGCCAGCGUGGCUGCUCCCACGGCAACUCCGCGACCCAUGCGCACUCCCUGCACCAGUGGCAAAACGUGGCGCCAAUUUUUCAGAGAAAGCAGGUGGUGCGGGUUCAGCAUGGACACUCCCCACCCAGCCCAGGUGCCACCGGGCCUGGAGGGGGCACCCUGACAGCGGAGGAGCCCCGCGGCCUGACCCCGCCUUAAAUAACCAACGUCCUCGCCCAUUCCCGGGGGUUUGGGUGCCAAGUGCUCUGCAAACCUGUUUUCUCUGGCUCAGCCAAAAGACACAACCCCUCCCCCUUCCCCUGACCUCUGGGCUUGGCGCAGGGUGGGGGGUGGGGUGGGGGGGAUUUUCCUUAAAAAUCACAGCUAGGGUAAAUGCAGGCCCUGGGAUGGCCAGGAGGAAACAGGCUGACCCCACCCUCACUGCAGUGGACCGGUGGUGGGUGACGUCAGGGAGGGGCAGGAUGGGAGGUGGCUCACUGUGGGGGGGCCGCCCCUCCCCCCGGAACCCCACUGUGCUUCUCUGUUCGCUCCAUGGUGGCAGCCUGUCUGGUCUCAUCCGUUGUCCGAUGGUUCCUCCGUGUGACUCAGUGUUACCCGUGGUGGACGGUCCUGUGCUCCAAGACGGUUUCUCCUCUUCCUCAUGGCUGCCUUGUACAAACAUCCGUUAGAAAAAGAAAUUGUAAAAUACCAGAUUUCUAACAAGAUGCACACACGGCAUUAAUGGCGUUCGGAGAUUUUUACACCCGGUCUUGUUUUUGACGUGAGCUGGUUUUUACUCUCGAAUGUUGUCACUGAAAUAAAAACCUUCUUUGCCUUUAAAGGGCA
rnacentral:lncRNA from 1 species